UACGAAGGGUGCUAGCGUUGCUCGGAAUUACUGGGCGUAAAGCGCACGUAGGCGGUUUUCUAAGUCAGGGGUGAAAUCCUGGAGCUCAACUCCAGAACUGCCUUUGAUACUGGAGAGCUUGAGUCCGGGAGAGGAGAGUGGAAUUCCCAGUGUAGAGGUGAAAUUCGUAGAUAUUGGGAAGAACACCGGUGGCGAAGGCGGCUCUCUGGACCGAGACUGACGCUGAGGCGCGAAAGCGUGGGGAGCAAACAGG
rnacentral:rRNA from 1 species